rnacentral:rRNA from 1 species
AGCGAACGCUGGCGGCAAGCUUAACACAUGCAAGUCGAGCGGGCAUCCUUGUGGUGUCAGCGGCAGACGGGUGAGUAACGCGUGGGAACGUGCCCUUCGGUUCGGAAUAACUCAGGGAAACUUGAGCUAAUACCGGAUACGUGCGAGAGCAGAAAGGUUUAUCUGCCGAAGGAUCGGCCCGCGUCUGAUUAGCUAGUUGGUGAGGUUAUGGCUCACCAAGGCGACGAUCAGUAGCUGGUCUGAGAGGAUGAUCAGCCACACUGGGACUGAGACACGGCCCAGACUCCUACGGGAGGCAGCAGUGGGGAAUAUUGGACAAUGGGGGCAACCCUGAUCCAGCCAUGCCGCGUGAGUGAUGACGGCCUUAGGGUUGUAAAGCUCUUUUCUCCGGGACGAUAAUGACGGUACCGGAGGAAUAAGCCCCGGCUAACUUCG